GUUAGUUCAGUGGUUAGAGCGACCGCCUCAUAAGCGGUAAGUCGUGGGUUCAAAUCCCACACGG
rnacentral:tRNA from 1 species